UACGUAGGUGGCAAGCGUUGUCCGGAAUUAUUGGGCGUAAAGCGCGCGCAGGCGGUCCUUUAAGUCUGAUGUGAAAGCCCUCGGCUCAACCGAGGAGGGUCAUUGGAAACUGGAGGACUUGAGUGCAGAAGAGGAAAGUGGAAUUCCAAGUGUAGCGGUGAAAUGCGUAGAGAUUUGGAGGAACACAAGUGGCGAAGGCGACUGUCUGGGCUGUAACUGACGCUGAGGCGCGAAAGCGUGGGGAGCAAACAGG
rnacentral:rRNA from 1 species